rnacentral:rRNA from 1 species
UUGAUGCGGGACUAACUGCAGUCGAGCGGACGAUGGGAGCUUGCUCCCUGAAGUCAGCGGCGGACCGCUGAGUACACGUGGGCAACCUGCCUGUAAGACUGGGAUAACUCCGGGAAACCGGGGCUAAUACCGGAUAAUUCUUUCCCUCACAUGAGGGAAAGCUGACAGAUGGUUUCGGCUAUCACUUACAAAUGGGCCCGCGGAGCAUUACUUAGCUGGGGAGGUAACGGCUCCCAAGGCCACGAUGCGUACCCGACCUGAGAGGGGGACCGCCCACUCUGGGAAUGAAACCUGCCCUCACUCCGAUGGGAGGCCAAGUUAGGCAAUCUUUCCUCUUGGAAGAAAAUCUCACGGAGCCACCCCGCGGAUACGAGUAAACGCUUUCGGAUCGUAAAACCUCUGUUGGAAGGGAAACCAACAAAACCUGGGACCAAAGUGCCUCGGAUCAUUAGACCGUAUCCAAACCUAAAAAGCCCCCGCCUUAAUUUACUGUCGCCAAAACCCGCUGCUUAAUUACCAACUUCUGGAACAACGUUUUCCCCCAAAAAUUAUUCGGUCCUAAACACCCCCCCCCCGCGGAAUGAUAUCCUCUUCAAUCUCAAAUAUGGAAAACCCACCCCGGCCCUCACCCCGGGGGAGAGGGUUUUUUUUGGAAAAUUGGGGAUAAACUUUGCUUUUUUAAUAUAAAAAAAAUAGCUGGAAAUUCUCCCCCUUUUUAUUGCUGAUAUAAAAUCCCUAUAAAACAUUGGUGGGGGACUACCCCCCAUGGCCUAAGGGGCAAACUAUAUUAGUACAUUAAACAUCCACCCUCGAAAGCCCCCAUUAAUACCCGAUGGA